CUUUUAAAGGAAAUGAGCCCUCCGCUGGCUUUAGGAGCCA
rnacentral:tRNA from 1 species